rnacentral:rRNA from 1 species
UGGGGAAUAUUGGACAAUGGGCGAAAGCCUGAUCCAGUCAUGCCGCGUGAGUGAUGAAGGCCCUAGGGUUGUAAAGCUCUUUCACCGGUGAAGAUAAUGACGGUAACCGGAGAAGAAGCCCCGGCUAACUUCGUGCCAGCAGCCGCGGUAAUACGAAGGGGGCUAGCGUUGUUCGGAAUUACUGGGCGUAAAGCGCACGUAGGCGGAUAUUUAAGUCAGGGGUGAAAUCCCGGGGCUCAACCCCGGAACUGCCUUUGAUACUGGGUAUCUAGAGUAUGGUAGANGUGAGUGGAAUUCCGAGUGUAGAGGUGAAAUUCGUAGAUAUUCGGAGGAACACCAGUGGCAAAGGCGGCUCACUGGACCAUUACUGACGCUGAGGUGCGGAAGCGUGGGGAGCAAAC